rnacentral:rRNA from 1 species
GAUGAACGCUGGCGGCGUGCCUAAUACAUGCAAGUCGAGCGAACAGACGAGGAGCUUGCUCCUCUGACGUUAGCGGCGGACGGGUGAGUAACACGUGGAUAACCUACCUAUAAGACUGGGAUAACUUCGGGAAACCGGAGCUAAUACCGGAUAACAUGUUGAACCGCAUGGUUCAACAGUGAAAGACGGUUUUGCUGUCACUUAUAGAUGGAUCCGCGUCGCAUUAGCUAGUUGGUAAGGUAACGGCUUACCAAGGCAACGAUGCGUAGCCGACCUGAGAGGGUGAUCGGCCACACUGGAACUGAGACACGGUCCAGACUCCUACGGGAGGCAGCAGUAGGGAAUCGUCCGCAAAGGGCGAAAGCCUGACGGAGCAACGCCGCGUGAGUGAAGAAGGUCUUCGGAUCGUAAAACUCUGUUAUUAGGGAAGAACAAAUGUGUAAGUAACUAUGCACGUCUUGACGGUACCUAAUCAGAAAGCCACGGCUAACUACGUG